GACGAACGCUGGCGGCGUGCUUAACACAUGCAAGUCGAACGGAAAGGCCUGCUUUCCCUUGUGGAUUGCGGGUACUCGAGUGGCGAACGGGUGAGUAACACGUGAGUGAUCUGCCCCCAACUUGGGUAUAAGCCUGGGAAACUGGGUCUAAUUCCCGAUAGGACUGCAGGGUGGUGCCUGUGGUGGAAAACGAUUUUCUUGUGGUUGGGGAUGAGCUCGCGGCCUAUCAGCUUGUUGGUGGGGUAAUGGCCUACCAAGGCGGCGACGGGUAGCCGGCCUGAGAGGGUGGACGGCAAAAUUGGGACUGAGAUACGGCCAAGACUCGUACGGGAGGAAGCAGUGGGGAAUAAUGCAGAAUGGGCGGAAGACUGAUGCAGCGACGCCGCGUGGGGGAUGACGGGCUUCGGGUUGUAAACUACUUUCGACCGAGAGGAAGCCACCUGGUUGGAAGGGUGGUGACGGUAGUGGUAGAAGAAGCACCGGCUAACUACGUG
rnacentral:rRNA from 1 species